rnacentral:rRNA from 1 species
GAUGAACGCUGGCUACAGGCUUAACACAUGCAAGUCGAGGGGAAACGACGGGGAAGCUUGCUUCCCCGGGCGUCGACCGGCGCACGGGUGAGUAACGCGUAUCCAACCUGCCUCUGACUGAGGGAUAACCCGUCGAAAGUCGGCCUAAUACCUCAUGGUAUCGUCUGCGGGCAUCCAACGACGAUUAAAGAUUUCAUCGGUCAGGGAUGGGGAUGCGUCUGAUUAGCUUGUUGGCGGGGUAACGGCCCACCAAGGCUACGAUCAGUAGGGGUUCUGAGAGGAAGGUCCCCCACAUUGGAACUGAGACACGGUCCAAACUCCUACGGGAGGCAGCAGUGAGGAAGAUUGGUCAAUGGGCGAGAGCCUGAACCAGCCAAGUAGCGUGCAGGAAGACGGCCCUAUGGGUUGUAAACUGCUUUUAUGCGGGGAUAAAGUGAGGGACGUGUCCCUCAUUGCAGGUACCGCAUGAAUAAGGACCGGCUAAUUCCGUG